rnacentral:tRNA from 1 species
AGUCCUGAGGUGAUUCUCACAUUGAAUUGCAAAUUCAAAGGAGCAGCUUCAAUCCUGCCGGGACUU